rnacentral:sRNA from 2 species
CCAAUCCUGCCGCCGGCCCGAGGCUCGAAGACUGUGCAUGGCAGGAGCGGGGGAACCACGUUUCCCGGGCGUCGUGAGACGCCCUAGGGGUGAAGUCCUCGAGCGCGACCACGGCCGCGAACGGGGGCCGGGCAAGUACCUCCCAGCCCGAACCCGACAGCUCACUCCGCAGGCGUAUGGAGAGGUACU